rnacentral:rRNA from 1 species
UUGCCAGCACGUUAUGGUGGGAACUCAUGAGAGACUGCCGGGGUUAACUCGGAGGAAGGUGGGGAUGACGUCAAAUCAUCAUGCCCCUUAUGUCCAGGGCUUCACACAUGCUACAAUGGUCGAUACAGUGGGCAGCGACAUCGUAAGGUGGAGCGAAUCCCUGAAAGUCGGCCUUAGUUCGGAUUGGGGUCUGCAACUCGACCCCAUGAAGUCGGAGUCGCUAGUAAUCGCAGAUCAGCAACGCUGCGGUGAAUACGUUCCCGGGCCUUGUACACACCGCCCGUCACGUCAUGAAAGUUGGUAACACCCGAAGCCAGUGGCCUAAACUUGUUAGGGAGCUG